GUUCCCAAUGAUGUUUGAAAUGAAACCAUGCUAAUGCUGAUUGUUCAGUGAUUAAAAUAAUUUAUUUGAUUUAUUUUGAGGAACU